CUCAGGCCACAAGAGAUCUUGUGUGUGCUCUCUCUCUCUCCUUUGUCCCCUCUCUCCUCUCUUUCUCUUUCACCUCCCUUCUCUCCCCCUCUUUCUCUUUCCUCUCUGCCUUCUUUCUCUUUCUCCUUUCUCUCCUUCCCUCCUCCUUCCAGAUCCCUGCUAUGCCAUGAGAACAAAACAUCACCCUACUGGAGGAUGCGAGACACAUAGGCACGUGGAGCAGAGCCAAGUCAACCCAGUUGUCUUGUCCAAGCCCAAGACAUGUGAGAACCCAGCCAAGAUCAGCAAAACUGUGCUGACUCGCAGCUGACUGCACAGGCAUGAGUGAGCCCUGACAAGCUUAGCUCAUCUCAGCAGAACCACCCAGGUGGUCUUUAGAUUCUGCUUUUCCUUUUAACCUGUAGUGAGCGAAAGCAGAAGUGUUUGAUUCCCAUGCUGAGGAAAGCUAUCUGAGCUGAGGGCGCCUGGAAGUUACUCCCUCAGAAAUUUCAGGAUGCUCAGCACCAGGAGAAGGUGCUCGCCACAAGAUGGUAGAAGAAAGCCCCAAUGUCUUCUGGCCUCUUCUGCCCUACGGAGUCCUGCCUUGUUGCUGCUGACCACACAGCAAACUGUCCCGGGGUCAGCAGGUCUCAGCUGUGCAGGAAGCACUCCAAACCAGGGAUUCGCAGAGACCACAGCCGUCUUCCAGGGGAUUCAGCAGCUGCGCAGGGUCGAGACGCUCUGAGUGCAUUAAUCAAAGGUUAUUGUUCUCACUGCUCUGCUUGCCGUGUCAGGUGGAUCCGGGACAAGCUGUUGGUUGGAGGGUUUUCUCCUGUGUCUGUCUGUAGACACUCAUCUUCCCAAUUUAUCCUGCAAGCAAUACCUUGCAGGAGAGGAGCAGUCUCCCCCACUUGCCUCACAGCUUUAGGAACUCUGGAGCUUCGUACAAAUGUGUACAAAGUGUAGAGACUCCAGCCAAGAGGUGAGAGUGGGAAGGAAAACUGUGAUGGGAGGGAAGCUGGAAGGUGCUGGGCCAUUAAUUACUGCUCAGUGGGGAGGGGGCAGGAAACUAUAACUCAGAGUGGAGCUCCAGAGCUAAAGCAAACAGGAAGGUUUUAAUGAGAAAGUCCCUGAGAGGAAAUGACUCAAUGGUUUGGAAAGAGUGGGCUCCAGCAGGAAUAGAGGCAACUAGAGGCUACUAGAGGUAACCCCCAUCCAUGAGGAGGGGAGGGAGCCGGCCAGAGGGGGACAACUGGGGAGGGGCAGGACUUUCUCUUUGGCGCCCAAGACAUAGCAACCAGCCUCAUCCUCCACUCAGGAUUCCUCCCCACAUUUUCCUGGAAUAGGGGUUGGGGCGGGGAUCCUCAGGGCGGGAGCAGCUGUUCCAUCUGCUACAGGAUUGGGAAAAGCAUCUUGACUCUCAGCAUGGUAGGGCAGGCUGAGACUGCAUGGUCAAGAGUCUGUUUGGAGAAGGGGCUGGAAUAUUCUGGGAUUGUGCUUGCAAAGAGGGAGACACAACGGUUCUCCCAGUGCCUGGAAUAGAGAAGUCCCUCCCUUAAAAAAAUGCUGAUAAUAGCACUAAGGCGGGAUGAUUACCACGAUCGUGUUAGAGGCUUGGUGUGCCCAUCAUAGAGGGAAUGCAUUUUCUGUCUCAAACAUCAGAGCAUGCCAUCUGACAAAAAAAAUUUCCUUUCUGGUUUCUGAAUUUGUGUACAUGAAAUACCUUAAAAUGAAUUCAUGCUUAGUCAUAAAUAAAAUGAAUUUAUUUAAAAUUAUAACAUUGCAUGAUAUUGGAAGUGUCCCGGAAAAUCUGGGAUGAAGGAACACUGUGCUUUGAACUGAAGCAUAUCUGAGAAGAGCUGAGGAAC
ensembl:lncRNA